GCUCGUUACCGGCAGUGAGCACCACCUGAGGAUGGCUCUGCUCCAGCACAAAAAGCUCGUCUUUUCCAACCUUGGAACUCUUUCCUGACUUCAUGGUUCCACUCGGACCAGAAGGCGCCAGUUGCAAUAUACCUGCCCAGGUGACUCUUCAAGAAGACCCUGUUGGUGUCGUCCCCGUCCUGCUCCAAGGUCCAGAUCUGUUUUUUCUUCAUGCUGGUGGCAGAGGCAUUUAUCUUAAACCCAAAUGUUUCAGCGCGCUGGAAUUGUUCUGAACUGCAGUCUCAGACAGCCUGGAUCCCAAGUCACAGCUGCAGCUUUUAUACAGAUGGAUGAUGUCAGUCUGGCUGCCCCGCCUCCGAUUGAAACGGGAGUUUUCAGAGAACUGCAGCAAAAAAAAAAAAAAAACCUCUAUGCUGACUAAACGCUAUCAGCGUCUCGAGUAAACGUUAUCAGCAUCUUGUCCUCUAACUGCACAGAGGACAGAUAAAUGCAAAUCAAGUAGGCGUAGCACGAAUCUGCUGUUAUUUUCUACGCGUAGAAUGGCGAAUUCAGAUGUGAGGACGGUGCUGCCGCCAAGUAA